GGUCAAAAGCGGCUGGUGCUUUCCGAAAGCUGCUCCCGGGACUCCAUGAGCAGUCAGCCUAGUUGUACCGGGCUCAACUAUUCAUAUGGUGUCAAUGCUUGGAAGUGCUGGGUGCAGUCAAAAUAUGCCAAUGGAGAAACCAGCAAGGGUGAUGAGCUGCGCUUUGGCCCCAAACCCAUGCGUAUCAAAGAGGAUAUUCUCGCCUGCUCAGCUGCUGAGCUCAACUACGGUCUGGCCCAGUUUGUGAGAGAAAUCACUCGGCCCAAUGGUGAACGAUAUGAACCUGACAGUAUCUACUAUUUGUGUCUUGGCAUCCAGCAGGUACCUCUUGUGCACCACCUCACUUCCUGUCACUCUUAACACAGCAGGCAGGGUCUAAACAGAAAUGAUUCUGGGUUAGGCACGGUGGCUCACGCCUGUAAUCCCAACACUUUGGGAGGUUGAGGCAGGAGGAUCGCUUCAAGCCAGGAGUUUGAGACCAGCCUGGGCAACAAAGUGAUACCCAUCUACCCAAAAAAUAUUUUUUUAAUGAA
rnacentral:sRNA from 1 species